AAAACCAUUUUGGUAGGCCAUACAUGGUGGUUUAAAUAUUUCGCAUCGUGGAAAAAGAAAUACAUUUUCUUCUGUUAUUCUUACUUCAGACAAGAAGAGCUUCGUGCUUACGUUGGAUGACCUUAUCAACCCGCCCACGUUAUUUUUGACGAUAUCGCGUUGUUAGGUUUGUUAACGAGGGACCGUACGCAGUUUUCAUUACGAGGCACAGUUGAACGCUCAUUCGGUGUUGACGACACACAACCCCGCGACGAACAAAGGAAAAGGCUGGUGCUCGCUUGUUAGUGCGUUUGGAGAGUGUUAUUAUACAACAAUUCAGCUAAAACUCACCAUAACGACCUUUUUGUUAUGGGAUUUUAACUUUAUAUAUUUUUUUAUCGGAAUAACAAAACCAUUAGGUUGAUCAUUCAGUCUUGUUAGCAGCAUCGGCUAACGUUAGCUUUGAUUGUGGACAACUGGUAAGCUAACUGCUAACUUUAGCAUUGUUUUCAUUCUAGCCGGAACUUUUUAGUUGUUGGCACAAUGGCUGAAGUAUACAUUCGAGUGGCUGAGGAGGAAAAUGAGGAGCCAAUGGAGAUUCCGUCCGAGGACGACGGUACUGUUCUGCUUUCAACAGUGGCGGCUCAGUUUCCAGGGGCUUGCGGCCUACGCUUCAGGAGCCCCGUGUCUCAGUGCAUGCGGGGAGUGCGUCUGGUGGAAGGGAUCCUACACGCACCAGAAAACGGAUGGGGGAAUGUCGUGUUUGUGGUGAACUAUCCGAAAGGUCACACUUCAGACAACAAAAGGAAAAUGGAGGAAAUUGACGCCUCAUCUGCAGUGAAAAUGAAGAGAGGGGAUAUGAAAACAUCGGAUCUGAUUGUACUGGGCCUUCCUUGGAAAACAUCUGAGCAGGACCUGAAAGACUACUUUGGCACAUUUGGAGAGGUCAUCAUGGUUCAGGUAAAACGAGAUGCCAAGACUGGAAACUCUAAAGGGUUUGGCUUUGUGAGGUUCACAGAAUAUGAGGUUCAAGAAAAGGUUGUGUCCCAACGCCAUAUGAUUGACGGAAGAUGGUGUGACUGCAAGCUCCCUAACUCAAAGCAAGGGCCCGAUGAGCCAAUGAGGAGCCGGAAGGUGUUUGUAGGCCGUUGCACAGAAGACAUGACCACUGACGACCUGAGGCAGUUCUUUAUACAGUAUGGCGAAGUCACAGACGUCUUCAUCCCAAAGCCAUUCCGUGCUUUUUCCUUCGUCACAUUUGCAGAUGAUCAGGUUGCCCAGGCUCUCUGUGGAGAGGACCUAAUAAUUAAAGGUGUCAGUGUUCACAUCUCAAAUGCUGAGCCCAAACACGGCAAUAGGCAGUUUGAUCGCACGACACGGUUCGGAAAUGGUUUCGGCGCUCAGGCUUUUGGUAGCAGCCGUAGUGGGGUUAGCGGGGGCAGCACUAACAGUAGUCUGUCUAAUUUUGGUUCCUUCAGUCUGAAUCCGGCUAUGAUGGCUGCGGCCCAGGCAGCUCUUCAGAGUAGUUGGGGGAUGAUGGGAAUGCUAGCUAGCCAGCAACAGACAUCCACCCCAGGCAGCACCUCUAGUGGAACUAGCUCCAGCAGGGACCAGAGUCAGUCUUUCAGUGCGGCCAACAGCAACUAUGGCGCCAGCUCGGCCAGUCUCGGCUGGGGAACAGGGUCAAACUCUACAACCAGCGGUAGUGGGUUUAGCUCAGGGUUUGGGUCCAGUAUGGAGUCAAAGUCAUCUGGGUGGGGUAUGUAAGCUAAAUGUUUGUAUGGUAAGUAUUGUGACAGAUGAGUCUUUUCACAUUUUUAUUUCUGGUGUUAUUGCGUAUCUGACAAACGUAACACUUUAGUGGAAGUUGUUUUGUACAUUUGGAAAAAAAGCUAAAGAUUUAAUUUAGAAAGUUUUGCAGUGAGUUGUUUAGCAGGAUGUCUGACUAAAGUGCUAUUUUUGACGUCUCAUUUGUUUGUAUCCAUUUCAACUGGAUUCUCUAAUGCAUGUAUUGUGAAAUGUGAUAUAGCCAUUUUGAAAAAGCAUGAAUGUUUAUGGAUCACGAUCAUGCGGCUUUGUCACCAACCUAAAAGAUGUGAUAUAGCCAUUUUGAAAAAGCAUGAAUGUUUAUGGAUCACCAUCAUGCGGCUUUGUCACAAACCUAAAAGGCAAUCUUGCAUUGGGAAGAAUCUGGUUGAAACCUAAAUGUUUUAAAUGCAACUUUAUUUGCAGUCAAGUUCUGUGGAAAAGCCUUCAUUGAAAUCUCUUCUGCAGUUCACCUCUCUUCCAUUUUCCUGUGAGGAAGCUCCUCUAUGGCAGCAUUCUUGGGGUGAUAUCGGUAUCAUUCUCCCUCUUCCCACCUGUAAAUGCUAUGCCAUCAAAGAACGGCUUCACUCCGCAUGUUCUAAGAGACGGGACCUUGGGCUCCGCUGGUCGAGGUCUCCGUUUGAACCCUGACUGAAGUCUGUUCUGAAGGACGAAGAUGGAAGUACCAAUACUUUCAGUGUGUGGCCUUCACAGACAUGGGGUAGUACCAGUCUUUUUGCUGCUUUUGCUGGCUUGUGGAGUGAAUGAUCCCCUUUGAUUAUCCACAGCAACUUUCAAGGUUAGAGGAAUAUUUUAAGAUGGGUAGUGUGUCAUUGUCUUCAUUUUAAACCCAACUGGGUGAGCUCAGCAGUCUGGCAUCCUUCCAAACUAUCUAUUUUCAGUAAUUUUACAGUUGACAUGUUUCUGAAAAUAAGGGACUUUUAGAUGGCCUUAUAAACCUAGCAACAACUGUAUACAGUACACCUGUAGCUCUGGUCAGAAAUAAGUUAACCUCUGCUAUAAAUUAUACUCUUCGAUAGUUUUAAUGUUUCAAACCUUUAUUUUACAUUGACAGAUGUGUUGACUCAAGUCUAACACUGUAAUGUAGUCCAUAAUAUUGUGACCUUUUUAGUUUUUAUCCUCACCAUUUACAUAAGAAUGUACUACAGAACAGUAAAAUAUAACAGUUAUAGUAAGAGUCAACACGAGACAUUUUGUAGAUUGCUUUAGAUAAUAUAGGCAUACCUAUUAAGUGAUCAGUGUGUACGUUCAAAAUAGUCAACUCUAUUACAUAUUUUAGUUUAAAGAAACAAGGCAGGUACAUCGUUAAGCAGAGUUCUGCCAAAUGCACACAUUUAAUUUUGCAUCAACAGGUCACAGGACUUAUAAGUACACAAAACUAGUUAUUUAUAAAAUGCCUUAAGUGUAGAGUCCCCAUAACAUUAAAUGACAGCCUUGACACUUAAAUGAUUGCUAAUAGCCUUCAAGUUUAUUUUGAAUGUUGGGCAGAAGUGAGACACUGCAGGGCUGCCUGUGUCCUUUCCUUAUUCUUUGCUCUCCUCCUCAGUGUCUCUGCUUUUCCUCUUCCCAGUACUCUUCUUUUCCUGGUUCAGUUCUUCAGUUUUCCUUUGUAUGUGGAUGGACUGAAAUAAAUAAAAGCAAAUUUAAAACAA